rnacentral:rRNA from 1 species
UAAUUAACUGGACGUUACCCACAGAAGAAGCACCGGCUAACUCCGUGCCAGCAGCCGCGGUAAUACGGAGGGUGCGAGCGUUAAUCGGAAUUACUGGGCGUAAAGGGUGCGUAGGUGGUUGAUUAAGUUAUCUGUGAAAUUCCUGGGCUUAACCUGGGACGGUCAGAUAAUACUGGUUGACUCGAGUAUGGGAGAGGGUAGUGGAAUUUCCGGUGUAGCGGUGAAAUGCGUAGAGAUCGGAAGGAACACCAGUGGCGAAGGCGGCUACCUGGCCCAAUACUGACACUGAGGCACGAAAGCGUGGGGAGCAAACAGGAUUAGAUACCCGG